CACGCACUUAAUGGAGGUGUGAGCAUUGCUCAUGACCAGGCGGAGGUUCUGCAGGGCUGUGUCUGUGUUCUGCUUCACCACGGUCAGGCUGGCACCCUCGCCCGAGCGCAGGACUUCGUUGUCGUGCUUGAGUUUCAGCACCUGGUUUUCUGCCUUCAUGGCCCGUUUCUGCUCCAAGACAGCGGAAGUCAGUGUGGGCCCUGCGGCUCGCUUCCCCCCCCUCCCCUGCCCUGGCUCUGGCCGUACCGUCAUCAGCUCCAGGUUCUGCUCCACCUGCUGGACCACGGACUCCAGGUCAUGGUAGUCGCUCUCCUCCUUGGCCAUCUUCGCCUCCAGCUUCCGCUCGAGCGUCCUCACCCUCAGCACACAAGAAAGGGCGGGCUGUCGAGAGAAAACCCUGAUUAGACGGGGGCCGAGAGACCGGCCGGCCAGCGUGGGUCCACCGACACGGCCCCUCCUGCCCACACGGGCUGCUCAAGUCUUGACUUGGAACGCGGGACCAGGCGGGCGCGAAGGCGGGGGUGUGGCUCGGCUGCCCUCGGGGCCCCCAGAGGGAAGCUCCCCGUCCGCCAGCCC